CACGUAGGCGGCUUUUUAAGUCAGGGGUGAAAUCCCGGGGCUCCAACCCCGGAACUGCCCUUGAAACUGGGAAGCUAGAAUCUUGGAGAGGCGAGUGGAAUUCCGAGUGUAGAGGUGAAAUUCGUAGAUAUUCGGAAGAACACCAGUGGCGAAGGCGACUCGCUGGACAAGUAUUGACGCUGAGGUGCGAAAGCGUGGGGAGCAAACA
rnacentral:rRNA from 1 species